UACGUAGGGGGCGAGCGUUACCCGGAUUUACUGGGCGUAAAGCGUGCGCAGGCGGCGCGUUAAGACAGGUGUGAAAGCCCCGAGCUUAACUUGGGAAUUGCGCUUGUGACUGGCGUGCUGGAGUGUGGCAGAGGGAGGUGGAAUUCCACGUGUAGCAGUGAAAUGCGUAGAGAUGUGGAGGAACACCGAUGGCGAAGGCAGCCUCCUGGGCCAGCACUGACGCUCAUGCACGAAAGCGUGGGGAGCAAACAGG
rnacentral:rRNA from 1 species